rnacentral:lncRNA from 1 species
UUUCUCCUUCUCUUUUGAUCCCGUCCUUGCACACCCUCUAACUCUCCCAAUGGCAAAGCCAACAAUGUUGUCCGUCGGUCACCAUUCCUACUAAUGAUAGUAGUGUCUUCAAGCUCGAGACGGAGCAAAAAUAUAUCGAUGUAGUGAUAGGCCGUAGUCUUAUGAGAUACUGAUUAAAAAUCGAUUGGUGAAUGUGUCUCCCACCGAUGGUUCAUAAUAUAUUUAAAUUUUAAAAAUUGAAUUUUUUUUUCGAUAUUGAAAUUUUAAAGAUCUAAACUUUAAUUUUUUUGAAAAAAAAUUUAAAUUUUAAAAAUUAUUUUUUAAUCUCCUCUUUUACUUCUUCCUUGAUCCUUCCCUUAUAGUUGAUGUUUUUUAAUCCGCAAAGUGUCAAAUAAUCGAUAUCAAUUUUUUAAAUAUCAAAAAUAAUUGAAAGUGUGCAAUCAAAAGUAAAAAAAAAAUUUUAAUAGUAAAAUCCAUAAUGACCAAGAAUCUUCAUUUUUAUCUUCUUUUCUAAAAUAAUCAAGAAUAUCAUAAUUUUUUUUUCUUUCCCUUUCUUCC